rnacentral:lncRNA from 1 species
GGAUCUCCUCCGACCCCGAAGGAGAGCGGGGUGGGGGGUAGGGGGUGCGAGCGAGCCGGGCGCAGAGCGGGCGGACCUCGGCGGCGGGGCUGCAGGUGGAGCCCGGGAGCGACCGAGCCGAGGCGCCUCCUUCCUGCACGGUUCCCGGCCCCGUGCGCGCCGCCCCCGGCGGAGGUCCCAGCGGGGGCGCCUCCGGCCGGAGCCCAGCCCUCGCCUGCCCCACCCCCACAGCGGCUCUCGUAGGGGGAAGGGAAAAAAAAAAAACAAACCCGGACAGCAUUGCUGCGUUGUGCCAAAUCAGAAAAAUAAAUAAAAAUAGACGUAGUGCAGGAGCCAGUUACAAGAAAGGAUUUGCCCAUCGAUUUUCUUAAAUGGAAAAGUUUUUUAAAGGGCGAGGGUAAGUGAAUGGCGCGCCCGCCCGUUCUGUAUGACUGUAUCCGAGGUGGAUCCCCGAGGCGGCGGACGCUGCGCGCGGCCGGCGCGGGCGAAGGCGCACCUGGACCGGGGGCGCGCGGCUCUCGGCGCACGGACGCGUGGCGCAGCGGGCAAGCGCGCGCGGGGACGACGCGACGGCGUGGCGGACCCAGCGAUCGGCCGUGCAACUUGUGCGCUCGCGAGGGCCGGGCUGCGCGCCAGACCGUAUUCUCUUUGUGCCGUCCCUGCCUGUAAAGACAUCUGCCCACGGGGUUCGCGGGGAGUAAAUCAGCACGUGACAGCCUCCCCCACCGCCACCUUUUUGUGAGAGUGAGAGGCAGAAAUUCGCACCUGGGGAAGGUGGGGGGAACAGUUCCGGGCGAGCCGCUGCCCCUGCUAUUCUGCAGCGCGGCCGGCAGGGGCCGCUCUCCCCACUUUUCCCGGGCCUUGGGUCGCGGGGGGCGGGGGCUAGGGGCGGCCCCGGGUGCGCGCGCAGCCCCACGGCGGGGCGCACGGUCUCCGGGAGGGGCCGGGGGGGCGGCCGGGCCGGGGGCGGCUGCGCCGGGUGUUGGGGGCCAGGUCCGGCGGUCGGGCCGGCGCUGCUGGGCCUCGGGGUUGGGCGGGAGCGCAGGGG